UUAUUUAUCUUUUCGACGGAAACUGAGGGCACACAUACAGGGGGAGCACCAGAGGGAGAGAGAGAAGCAGGCUCUCCACGGAGCAGGGAUCCUGACCUGUGUGACCUGAUCCUAGGACCCCGGGAUCAUGACAUGAGCCAAAGACAGUUAACAGACUGAGCCACCCAGAUGCCACAGCAGUGGUGACGUUCGUAGGACAGUCGACACUGAUGGCCUUGGAAGCUGUGGUCUGUAAUGCUGGAAGGUUUACACAAGGGCCAAGCGUCUAUGGAUACCUUAUGUAGAGAACACAUCAACUUGUUUCAGUGUUCCAAACGUAUCAGAUACACGACCACACAAUCCUCGUAUGGGAAACGAGGUGACUAGCACGAAAGUACACGAUGAAUAGGAGGUUUUAAAAAAAAAAAACGUUUGCUUUUCCCAGUCGAUCCCAAGGGAAUCGCUGGGUGGCCAAGGGGUAGAAGGAAGAGCGGACGUCCUCCGGCACCAUGGAAUCUGGCAAUGCACUGUGGACAGAAGCCCCCACCUCCACCUGCAGGAUCCCGGGAUCAAGACCUGAACUGAUGUCAGGUGAUUAACCAUGUGAGCCACCCGGGUGCCCUUGUAAAUGUUGGAUCUACAACUGGGUCAAAUUCUGAACCUAUGAUGAAUUAGUUCGUGGGGGCCCCGGGGGGUCCCCCUACCUCCUGUAUUCAGUUUUCUCUCUCCCACUCCUCCUUUGCUCGGGUUUGUGUCUUCCUGGAUAUACUGGGGGUGGGGUGGGGGAGUGUCUUUUGCCCUGCUCCUCGUUCUCGGUGUUUUCUUCCAGAGAGUCUCAAAUCAGCAUCAUCAGCCUUGGGGCUUCUGUCGCGGCGAGGGCUGUAUGGUCUCACGCCUCCUGGCGGAAGUCAAGGUGGGACCGGAUCCCCUCAGUGUGCCCUUCUUACAUUUCCCUGCGUCGGGGCCUCCCUCCGUUGCACCCACAACACAGAGGGUCACCCCCAGGGCUGUGCUUGGGGUGUGCUUUCCCCCAUAGGAUCCGGACGUCCGCAUCCAGCACUGGCCCAACACCCAGUCCCUGGAACUGAAGCACACCAGUCAGCAUGUCCUGCGGUUGCCAGCCUCAGGGGGGAGCCCUGGAGACCAAUACAGGCCACAUGCAGGUCACAUGGGUGACACCUCCCCCCAAGAUACAGUCCAUUCUCCUUCAUUCUCACCUUGUUGGCAAGGAGGGGACCUUAGUUUGGAAACGGAUGGCGACCUCCAUGUGAGAUAACAGAACACGGGCCAACACACAAGCUGGCCGGCGAUGGCCAGUUCCCUCCCAGAUCGUGGCUGUCACCUCUGAAGCCAGUUAGUUAGCGAAGGAGCAGGUCAAGCUGACCCCCGCGUCCUCAGUUAACAUACGGACACCGUGCCUGUGAUGCUGCCGCUUGUUUUAAUCACCAUCUCCUCAGGUCCCCGAUGAGAGAGAGAUUCCUGCUCCAGACUUGUGGGAUGCCCUGACACCCGACACGUGUGACUGACCAACAGUUUACUCGUCCCAUACCCUCGCGCUUCAGGGGAGGAGGAUACCACACACCGGUGCAGGACGACACAGACGUCGCGCUUGAGAACAGAGAGAACCAGCAGCAGGGCCUUCGAAGGCAAGACUUGCUUCUUGAAACAAGAGGGUGUGGCAAGUCCUGGUUCCCAUGGGAGGGGGUGAGUGGCUGGCCUCAAGAAUUCAGUGGGCUUCUAGGCAACUGAACGCUGCUCCCCCAAAACCAACAGGCACUAUGGCUAGUCCCGAGGAUGAGAAGGGUGUUUGGGGAAGAGACCUCCCCUGUGAGGGAAGAGGGAGAGGAGAACGGGCAGGAGGCCAUUCGGGUCCCUCCUUGAUCUUCCGCGUGUCAACACAGCCCCUGACACGGAAUCUUCACUGCAGGCCUCCUGCCCCAAGAGGGUACGACAAAUGCUUCUAGAACUAACAACGGAACUUCACAGAGAAACAGUACACGGGCUAAACACAGAAAGACAGCUCGGUUUGGUGCCGACCACAGCCAUCUAGAGCUUGUGAGGAGCUCAGAGAGGCCACCCUCAGAACACAGCAGCAGCAGAGGAGGAGGAUGGUGGUGUGACCGAGGUCCUGCCAGGCUUCUGUGAGGCUUGCUGCUUGUCUGGCGUCUCGAGACCCCACAACCUUGUCCCGGUGGGCGCAGCACCUCACAACCUCCAGACCCAUGGCCACUGGUCUGAGGACACCCCUUUCCAGCUCCUGUACUUCGUCCUCGAGGUCGGCGCGGAGGACGAAGAAGUGAGCAGCCCUUGGGAAGAUGCUCCUCUGCACGGAGCUGAGAAGAGCCCAGAACGGGGCCUCGUUGAUGGAGCUGCUAACUAUGUGGGGGGCCUGGAGACAGCGCGAGUGGAAAUGCGGCCGAACCGGGCAGAUGAGGUUUCAGCCUUGCUGGGGCUCAAGUCCUGCUAGAAGAGACCGACUUGAAGCCCGUAAGUGGAGUGUUGAUGGGGGAGGAGCUCCGUUCUCCUUCUCGAGUAGGUUACGUUCCACGAGGGGUUGUCAGGAUCCCCACCGUGCACCUGAGAUCAGGCCAGUCAGGGGUCAGUGGGGGUGUGUGUGUGUGUGUGUGUGUGUCUGUGUGUGUGUGUGUGUGUGUGUGCGUGUGUGUGUGUGUGUGUAGGGGGAAUGGCCUUCCUUUUGGGUGGGUUGUGGGUAUCAGUGAUCGGAACCCAUGAUGAACAGGACUGACAGGAUGCGUGAGGGACUCACCCCCUGGCUGGCCAAGACAGGAAGGAAAUAACGACCCGUGAAAUUCGUCAUUACUGUUUUGCAUUGAGUGCUGAGAAGUACAGGGUGCGUUAGAGUUUGUAAUUUGCUGAGUAAUGUUUAAGCUGAGACCAGGAGGCUAAGAAAUCAAGGCGGAUGUGGGAAGGUGUUCCGUUAGGGCCGGGAAGGAUGUGCAGUGUUGAAGGAAUUGAGAGAAUGUCCUUGAAGCUGGGGCCACGUGGGGACCGUGGGGUGGGGAAAACCAACGUUUGGGGUGACGACUUGUUGUUUUUGUAGGGUCUUGGAAACGAAUCAUAGUGAUUUAAAACAUGGGGUCCAGACCCCAAGCAGAUCCUACCUCUGCCUCUUAUGAGCCGUGUUGCUAAAGCAUUGUACGUCUCCCUUCCCUGAUGGGACGAAUGGGGAUGAUGAUAAUCCCACGUCAUAGAUGACUGUAAAGAUGAAGUGAAAUUUAACAUUAACAAAACACUUAGCGCCACGUCUGACAUGCAGGCGGUGUCAGUGGUGGUUAGUUCAAGAAGUAAAGAAAUACACAGAUAAGUUUUGAAGACGUGGUGGCAGUCUGU